rnacentral:rRNA from 1 species
UACGUAGGGUGCAAGCGUUGUCCGGAAUUAUUGGGCGUAAAGAGCUCGUAGGCGGUUCGUCGCGUCGGCUGUGAAAAUCCGGAGCUUAACUCCGGGCCUGCAGUCGAUACGGGCGGACUUGAGUUCGGCAGGGGAGACUGGAAUUCCUGGUGUAGCGGUAAAAUGCGCAGAUAUCAGGAGGAACACCGGUGGCGAAGGCGGGUCUCUGGGCCGAUACUGACGCUGAGGAGCGAAAGCGUGGGGAGCGAACAGG